GCGCUCUCUUUGGCAGCACAUGUGCUAGAACUGGAAUGAUACAGAGAAGAUGAUCAUGGCCCCUGUGCAAGGAUGACCCACAAAUUCGUGAAGUGUUCCAUAAAGUG
rnacentral:snRNA from 1 species